UUAAGUUCAGCGGGUAUCCCUACCUGAUCCGAGGUCAAAAUAAAAAGUAAGCUUAUGGAUGCCGCCUUCGACUGCCAGAGGACGCAAUUCUGCUGCGCUCUAAGCCGCUGAAGUGGCUGCCAAUCCUUUUGAGGCGAGUCCCGGAGGACAGACGCCCAACACCAAGCUGCGCUUGAGGGUGUAAAUGACGCUCGAACAGG
rnacentral:misc_RNA from 1 species